rnacentral:lncRNA from 1 species
ACCUUAUCUGCCUGCCUGCUGCCAUGCUUCCUGCUAUGGUAAUAAUAGACUAAACCUCUGAAACUGCAAGUCAGCUCCAAUGAAAUACUUGCCUUUAUGAGAGUUGCUUGGGUCAUGGUAUCUCUUCACAGCAAUGAAACCCUAACUAAGAAACUUAUGGAUGAAGACAAACCCUAAGAAAAUGCAAGCUCAGAUGAACUAUUCCUCUCUGAAAUCUGGCAAAAAGCCUAAUAUUAAAGCAGUCGGUGAGAAAACAUAAAAACGAAUCAUGAAAGCUGAUGUAUCAUUUGGGAGUGUGCGGCAGCAACAACAACAGAAAGACAGCAUUUCAAACCAAUGCAGACUGAGAGCCUCAGGAAUUGUCACCUCUGGCUUGUUGAAGCAUCAUCCUCCCCUCAGCAAAGAGAAGUUUACGGAACACUUUUUCUCAUGUGUUCAACCUGGUACCCCAUCCUUGGAAGAGACUGCCGAUGCCAACUGUGUGCCCAAAGCAUGAUGACCCACUACCCGCCUGUGAUACCUACUGUGUGCCCAAAACAUGGUGAACCAGUCCCCACUUGUGAUGUCUACCCUGUACCCAAAGUAUCAUCUUAUUUUGGUACGAUGAACUAGUACCUACCUGUGAUGGCUACUGGGUGCCCAGAGCAUGGCGAUCUAGUACCCGCCUGUGAUGCCUACUGUGUGUCUAAAGAAUGAUGAGACCUCCUGUUCCCAGAGCUGAAAGGAAGAUCCCCUCUUAAAAAUACUGUGGAAGCUGGGUCUGGCUAUGAAUGUGUUUAACACUGAGGAGGCAGAGGCAGGUGGGUCUAGGCCAGCCAGGACUACACAGUGAGUUCCAGGCCAGCCAAGACUAUACAGUGAUAUUCUGCAUCAAAAAUAAACUCUUAUGGGCUCCUCCAAGACUCUAAGCAAGCCUUGACCCCUGAGUCAUCUGUGGAAACAUUGACUCUUUCUUCCAAGUCGGCCUGUCCUCUAUGUGUUAGUCACUGGUUCCCUAUUUAAGUUUAAAUAUGUCUUCAGAGCUUGUGUUACCAUUUCUUAUUUCUUAUUUUCCUUCAAAUUGCAGACUCCCCUUUGGCCAGACAUUCUCUCUCCUUCUCCCCAGAUGACAUAACUAAGUCACCAGGUGCUCAGGUGGCAGCUGUAGGAGAGGUCUGUGUGGCAGCCAUGCUGGGGUCUGGAGUCAUGAGGCUCCAUCAACACCAGCUGUAGAGUUCAGGCAGCUUACUGACAAUCCUGCCCUUUCCAUAAGGGCAACGGUCCCAGAGGAUCAGGGCUCACCGUAAGAAACUCGUAACUUAAUCACUUCUUUAAAGAUGCUGUUCCCCUGCUUAAGGUCCCAAUGAGAGGUUAUGACUGAUAAGGAUUUCAACAGGUAGAUUUGAGGGGAGGAAAAAUCCUUCAAUCAUACUAGUCCUCUUAGCAGGGACCCAGAAAUAUUUAUUGGACAGUCUACAUUUACGACUCAGCAGUAAAUAGCAAAACAUUAGGGGAGUUUGGCAUAGAAACCACAAAUCUAGUCUGUGUGUAUAUACUAGAAAGAGAGAGGAAAGCCAGAAAGAGAGAGCGCUGUGAUACAGAGGCAUCAACACCAGGACUAAGCUAGCAAAUGAAAAGAAGGGAAGCCAUGGGAGGCAGAGCCUCCUAUAAAAGCCUGGCUCUAUAACCAAUGUGCCUACAGGGCCUUCAUGAAUAAAAGGUAUAUUUCUGUUUCAGACAGCAGCCCCAAACUGAAUGACCCAGGUCACUGGUCAAGUUCUGCUCACCAGGGUUUUUCAGAGCCAAAAAAAAAAAAAAAAAAUCCAAAACAUUUUCAUUAUCUUUACGGUAAAUGCUGGACGUCAGCCACAUCUUCAUUUCUGCUGGUCGGAAUGAGCUGAAGGAGUCACGCUGCGGAAUGACUUCCCCACCCUGGAUCUGAAACAUGUCACUUCUCACAUUCCACUGGUGAGGAUGAUGUCUACUGUGUAUCUAACCACCAGGGAGGCCGUAAACAAAGUCUACUGUGCAUGAGAAGACUUGCCCAGAAAAGACUGUCCCUGCCAUCCCCCUAAAAAUAUGCAAUGUGAGGGGGAAAAAAGAUUUCCUAGUAGGAAUGAAGUCAAUGCCCUCCAUUAAGCACGUGACAGUGUUAUUUGGGAGAAAAGAGUCAAUGAAAAUUCCGAGAGCUGAUAUGGAGAAACACUAAAGUAGGAUCAUGGUGAGAAGGAUAAAUGUUAGAAUGUCCAGAGUCAUCGGAGCCAUGAGUAACAACUUCGCAUAGAAACUAAUGGGCAUCACCUUAUUUACAUACAAAUUACAUUAGACAAAAAGAGACACUAUCAUUAUCUACCAAUUAGCUUGAUAAUGAUUAAAGUCAGCACCUAGCC